rnacentral:rRNA from 1 species
UACGGAGGGUGCAAGCGUUGUUCGGAAUCACUGGGCGUAAAGGGCGCGCAGGCGGUUUGAAUAGUCAGAUGUGAAAGCCCACGGCUUAACCGUGGAAGUGCAUUUGAAACUGUCAGACUUGAGUGCGGAAGAGGGAAGUGGAAUUCCAUGUGUAGCGGUGAAAUGCGUAGAGAUAUGGAGGAACACCAGUUGCGAAGGCGGCUCUCUGGACUGUAACUGACACUGAGGCACGAAAGCGUGGGGAGCAAACAGGAUUAGA